rnacentral:tRNA from 1 species
GCGGGCGUGGUGUAACGGUAGCACAGCAGCCUUCCAAGCUUCUGGAGAGGGUUCGAGUCCCUUCGCCCGCU